UACAGAGGGUGCGAGCGUUAAUCGGAAUUACUGGGCGUAAAGGGCGCGUAGGCGGCCACUGCAAGUCGGUUGUGAAAUCUCCGGGCUUAACCCGGAAAGGUCAAUCGAUACUGCAGGGCUAGAGUGCGGAAGGGGCAACUGGAAUUCUCGGUGUAGCGGUGAAAUGCGUAGAUAUCGGGAGGAACACCUGCGGCGAAGGCGGGUUGCUGGGCCGACACUGACGCUGAGGCGCGAAAGCUAGGGGAGCAAACGGG
rnacentral:rRNA from 1 species